rnacentral:rRNA from 1 species
UGAUCCGAACGAAUCUUUGGUUCGUUCGAACUCUCUAUCAUACUUCCAAGAAAAGCUCGAACUACUAUAUAACACAAAAUACCUGUACCGUAAACCGACACAGGUGGGUUAGUAGAGUAUACUAAGGGGCGCGAGAUAACUCUCUCUAAGGAACUCGGCAAAAUGACCCCGUAACUUCGGGAGAAGGGGUGCCCUCUUUUAAGGAGGGUCGCAGUGACCAGGCCCUGGCGACUGUUUAUCAAAAACACAGGUCUCCGCAAAGUCGUAAGACAACAUAUGGGGGCUGACGCCUGCCCAGUGCCGGAAGGUUAAGGAAGUCGGUUAAGAUUUAUCUGAAGCUGACGACUGAAGCCCCGGUGAACGGCGGCCGUAACAAUAACGGUCCUAAGGUAGCGAAAUUCCUUGUCGGGUAAGUUCCGACCCGCACGAAGGGCGUAACGAUCAGGGCACUGUCUCGGAGAGAGACUCGGUGAAAUAGACAUGUCCGUGAAGAUGCGGACUACCUGCACCUGGACAGAAAGACCCUAUGAAGCUUUACUGUAGCUUGAAAUUGGGUUCGGGCUCUUCUUGCGCAGUCUAGGUGGGAGGCGUUGAAAGUAAGCUUUUGGGUUUACUGGAGCCAACAGUGAGAGACCACUCUGGAGGAGCUAGAAUUCUAAUAGCGGUCCUUGAAGCAGGACGCUUGACAGUUUCAGGUGGGCAGUUUGACUGGGGCGGUCACCUCCUAAAAGGUAACGGAGGUGUGCAAAGGUUCCCUCAGGCUGGACGGAAAUCAGCCGUAGAGUGUAAAGGCAGAAGGGAGCUUGACUGCAAGACCUACAAGUCGAGCAGGGGCGAAAGCCGGCCUUAGUGAUCCGACGGUUCCGUGUGGAAGGGCCGUCGCUAAACGGAUAAAAGUUACUCUAAGGAUAACAGGCUGAUCUUCCCCAAGAGUUCACAUCGACGGGAAGGUUUGGCACCUCGAUGUCGGCUCAUCGCAACCUGGGGCGGUAGUACGUCCCAAGGGUUGGGCUGUUCGCCCAUGAAAGCGGUACGUGAGCUGGGUUCAGAACGUCGUGAGACAGUUCGGUCCAUAUCCGGUGUAGGCGCAGGAGCAUUGAGAGGAGCCUUCCAUAGUACGAGAGGACCUGGAAGGACGCACCUCUAGUAUACCAGUUCUCACGCCAGUGGGAAACGCUGGGUAGCUAUGUGCGGAGAGGAUAACCGCUGAAAGCAUCUAAGUGGGAAGCCCACCUCAAGAUGAGUGCUCCCUAUGAGGUCACGGCAAGACGAGCCGGUUGAUAGGCAGCAGGUGUACGCGCAGUAAUGCGUUUAGCUGAGCUGUACUAAUAGACCCAUUGAUUUUGACC